AAGAAUAAUGAAUGCUGCAGAAAAUUGCUUUGAGAUCUAUUUGUUGAGUUAUCCUUGCAUAAAGCUCUGUAAACAUAAGCUUAUCUCUUAUUUUUAUUUGCAAAAGCAAGGGAGCUCUCUUACCUGUAAUUGGAUUAUAUGCUCAGUCGGUUUAGAAUUUUGAUGUGGCAUUUAAUUGUAUCCUCAUAGUGAGUUUACCUUAAAAGAAAAACAGCAAAAUUGGCAAAAUUUAAGUAUCACCCUUGAGAAUCGAGACAACAAAAAUUCUGGGUUGUUUCCUUUUCAAAAAUGUAUUGCAAGAGAUGAACCAUCAUAAUCUUUAGGUGAUGUUUAUUCAGACGAAGGUGAUGCGUACAAAGGCAUCAAUACUUCUUAGGAGGUCACCCAUCCCAAUACUACUCCAACUCGAGUAUAAUUAAUCAUAGUCUCUCCUUAGAUCAAGGCUAUUUAAUUACUUGUCUCAUCCCUCAUGAACAUGAUUUAGCAUUUUGGAUGUUUUGAGCAACGAAUUAUAUUUUGAAUGUUUUGCAAAUAGUACUAGUAGCAAGCUAAAUGGGCCUAUCUUUAGGAAAACUUUCUAAUUAAGUAUGUUUUAAUCAAAGUAGCACUAGGAUGGGUGAGAUCUUAGAAGUCUAUAUGUUUCACCCUUGUGAUCAUCACCUAGAUGUAAUGAGUGCCAAGUAGACCAUUUGUACUCAUGGGAGAUGAGUCCAUGUGAACUACUCAUGAAAUAUGAGUCAAUAAGUUUGACUCAAA